rnacentral:rRNA from 1 species
ACGGGUGAGUAACACGUGAGCAACCUGCCCCCUACUUCGGGAUAAGCCUUGGAAACGGGGUCUAAUACCGGAUAUGAACGUCUGCCGCAUGGUGGGUGUUGGAAAGUUUUUCGGUGGGGGAUGGGCUCGCGGCCUAUCAGCUUGUUGGUGGGGUAAUGGCCUACCAAGGCGUCGACGGGUAGCCGGCCUGAGAGGGCGACCGGCCACACUGGGACUGAGACACGGCCCAGACUCCUACGGGAGGCAGCAGUGGGGAAUAUUGCACAAUGGGCGAAAGCCUGAUGCAGCGACGCCACGUGAGGGAUGACGGCCUUCGGGUUGUAAACCUCUUUCAGCAGGGAAGAAGCGCAAGUGACGGUACCUGCAGAAGAAGCGCCGGCUAACUACGUGCCAGCAGCCGCGGUAAUACGUAGGGCGCAAGCGUUGUCCGGAAUUAUUGGGCGUAAAGAGCUCGUAGGCGGUCUGUCGCGUCUGGUGUGAAAUCCCAUGGCUCAACUGUGGGCUUGCAUCGGGUACGGGCAGACUAGAGUGCUGUAGGGGAGACUGGAAUUCCUGGUGUAGCGGUGGAAUGCGCAGAUAUCAGGAGGAACACCGAUGGCGAAGGCAGGUCUCUGGGCAGUUACUGACGCUGAGGAGCGAAAGCAUGGGGAGCGAACAGGAUUAGAUACCCUGGUAGUCCAUGCCGUAAACGUUGGGCACU